rnacentral:misc_RNA from 1 species
UUGAAUAAAUGUUGAUAGGCUGUUGCUGGCUUCUAGAGCAUGUGCACGCUUGUCAUCUUUAUUUUUCCACUUGUGCACUCUUUGUAGACCUUAGAACAUUUUAAUUAUCUGAGAAAAUCAGAUAGAUUGAGGACUGCUGCGUCUUUUGAAGGCCAGCCUUGCCUGUUGUAUCUAGGUUCUAUGUCACUCAUAUACUCCUAUAAAUGUAAUGAAUGUUGAUCUGGGUCUUUAGUACCUAUAAAGUUGUAUA